UACGGAGGAUGCAAGCGUUAUCCGGAUUUAUUGGGUUUAAAGGGUGCGCAGGUUGUUUGAUAAGUCAGUGGUGAAAGUCUGUCGCUUAACGGUAGGAUUGCCAUUGAUACUGUUAGACUUGAAUAUGGAUGAGGUAGGCGGAAUGUGUAGUGUAGCGGUGAAAUGCAUAGAUAUUACACAGAACACCGGUUGCGAAGGCAGCUUACUAAUCCAUCAUUGACGCUGAGGCACGAAAGCGUGGGGAGUCAAACAGGAUUA
rnacentral:rRNA from 1 species